GCAAAGUAGUCAUGAAAUGUGUUAUGUUGUUUUUUUUUACCCUCCCUUUUCCCCGGACGGGUUGUGAUUUCAGGGCACUCGACGACGUUUUCUUGGGGAUCAUUUUCUGGCGACACCAUCACGAAAUUGCCUAUCCUUAACGUCGCAUAUUGAGAUUAAGGGCCUCUCGUUAACACGGUCGAACUCGUCCCCGGCUCGCGUCGCGUUAGAAGAAGCAUCGUAUCAACUCGACCUCUCUCGAGGGGGUGAGCUAGUCGGAGGCUUUGCAGAAAAGCGGAACAAAACACAAACAAGCCCGGUUGGCCUCUCUGGGGCGGCCGCACAAUUCGCGAAACUGCGUGCAUUUCUCGAUUAAAACAACAUUUGCCCGCUGUGUUAGUCAAAUUGGUAUUCGUCGGGAAAUAUAAUGCAACACUCGGUAACAUAAAGGACUCAAAUGAACCCAAAAAUACCCGACGAUCCGAAAGCAACGCUUUGUUGACGUCAGUGUGUCGUGAGGGCAUCCGAAUUUCUCUGUCAAUGAGCGCGUUCUUCAUAUUCGUGUUGUCUAAAACGCCCUUAAAACAACAGUGAGGCCGACAUUGAAUGUAAACUGUUCGUUGUGAGCUUAGCAUGCACAUCCUGAGGUGUGCCAACGGCUGUUUACAACCCGGUACCACAUCCCUAACCCGAUUCCGGACGUCGAUACUGCGAUAUUUUUGAAUAGCCGACGAGACGUAAUUAUCCCCCCCCCCCCAAAAAAAAAUGUAUACAUGUCGUUUCCCCUAAAAUAUCAACUAAUCAUCACAGCCAGGAUUGGAGUCGCCGAAUAAGUCAUGCGUGACAAAAUGCUAGAUUUUGUUUUUCUUCAUUGUAUCACAAUUUUUUUUUAAUGAAAGUGUCACUUCUACUUUUGACUUUUUGAAUGGCAGAAGGACUGACGAACGCUCGCUUCCCUGUUUUGGCGUUGCGAAAUGUGCGCACGCACUAGAUAGUUUCCACACUGACUGCACUUGUGUGUAUCGCUGGUUCCUGAGCUCCAAUACUGUGUGUGAAUAGCAAAAAGCUUUU